UAAUUAAUUGCGAACCGUGUCUCGGGAGCGUUAGAGAUGGAGACUAACGUCUUCCAAGGGAGAUUGCGUCUCCACUUUCACCCUGGUACUGAGAGGUUGAGCACAAAAUUGGUAACCAAUGCUGCGCUUCCAGCAAAUUUUCCCACCAGCACCCAAUCCUGGGAUAUUUAUUCUCUUUGUCUCACAUCCUACAGGAACGCAGUCGCGGGGUAUAUCCCCCUGAAAACCGUACGUUGCCAAAUAAUGAUUUCUUUGGAUUAGAGAACUACAACUCCCCUGGGUCCUGAGCCGGUAUUUCCCUUUUGCGGCUGCACCGUAGUUAAAAACAAAGCUAAGUGUUCUGGGACGUAUAGUUCUAGCGUUCCUUGGGUCCCGCUGGCGAGCGUGGGCUUUCUGCAGCUCGCAACCGGCCUCGUGCUUUGCGGACGGUUCACUGCGCUUGGAAAGGGAUUGGCCUGGGGUACAUCAUCUAAAGAUCCUAGGAUUGCUGCAGGUCAGCAGUCUCCACUGGAAAAAAAGAUCUUGAAUCUAGGUGGUGUGCAUACAACAGCAGCAAGACAGUUGAUAAUGCAGAAAUAUCAGGAGGAGUGUGAAAUACUCUGUAGGGAGCAAGCUGUUUCUCUUGACUACUGGCUUGCCAAAGCAGAGUCUUAUUAUAAUAAAAUAAUAGUGGAAAUGAUGAAAGAAGAGACAGGCAAUGAAAUCUAGAAAAAAAUGGAGGAGAAAACAACCCAGAGCGUAGAAGGACUAAAACAGUACUGUUUGGUACCUGAGAGAGAGAUGAAACACAUAGAAAGGCACAUACAUCAAACAGGAAAGGCUGGAGAAUUUAAGAACAAACCAUUUAGACAAGUACUACAACCCCCCAAUGAAACAAAAUUACCAAAAAUUAUGCCAGAAGGGCAUGGCAUCCAGAACGCACAGAGAAGAAAGCAGGUAAAUGAGAGGGAACAGAUGCAGACUAAGGAUCACCAGGAACGCAUGAUUCGAGGGAGAGAACUUGCAGAACAAAGACUCAAGGAGAGAAUCUUGAGAAGAAGCCAGAGCCAGCUACUUACAUAUGAGAAGCAUGAGAGAGUAAAAGAGAUAAAGGAGUUUGAAAGAGUUAUUGCGUAUCUUCUUUUCCAACCAUGCAGUAGAAGUCGGAUUAAACAUGUAUUUCAAGUCCUCUGAUGAAUCAUGUGAUCUACUAGACCCUGAAGAUACAGUGAAGAGCAAAAGUAAGAUGCUGGCAAUUUGAUGUUUGCACUGUCAUGAAGGAGAUGCACAUUUAGCAGAACUUACAAAGAGAAAUAUAAAAUUACUGCUGAGCUAAGUGUGGUGAAGAAAAGUUCAUGGUACCAUGAAAGCAGAUAACCAGGAGAUCUAACAGGUCCACUACCACUAUUCUCAAUAAUACCUAAAAGAAAUAAUAAGAUAUGGCAUUUAUAAAUGAUGAAUAGGAUUUUAUAAAAUUAUAUACAAUCAGAGAACCAAAAAGCACUCUUGGAAAUCAAAAAGUGAUCAUUUAAAUAAGUAUUUCAAUAGAUCACUUGGAAGAGUAAAUUUGUACUACCACUAAAUAUUAAAAAUGGAAAAACAAUGUCAAGAAAGACAGAAAAACUAUACGAAUACUAGGCUAUCAGUCAAGGAUUUCCUGCAACUUAAUAAUACAAAUUCUAAAAGAAUGGAAAGAUAGAAAUUAUUUAAAAUAAAAAAAUUUCUCC
ensembl:lncRNA POLR1HASP POLR1H antisense, pseudogene